AUUGAACGCUGGCGGCAGGCCUAACACAUGCAAGUCGAACGAGCGGCGGACGGGUGAGUAAUGUCUGGGAAUCUGCCCGAUAGAGGGGGAUAACUACUGGAAACGGUGGCUAAUCCCGCAUACUAUCGGAUGAACCCAUAUGGGAUUAGCUAGUAGGUGGGGUAAAGGCUCACCUAGGCGACGAUCUCUAGCUGGUCUGAGAGGCUGAUCAGCCACACUGGGACUGAGACACGGCCCAGACUCCUACGGGAGGCAGCAGUGGGGAAUAUUGCACAAUGGGCGCAAGCCUGAUGCAGCCAUGCCGCGUGUAUGAAGAAGGCCUUCGGGUUGUAAAGUACUUUCAGCGGGGAGGCGUUACCCGCAGAAGAAGCACCGGCUAACUCCGUGCCAGCAGCCGCGGUAAUAC
rnacentral:rRNA from 1 species